CCACCCUGGGGAGGAAAGGCGGAUCCGAGGGCCGAGGGCCGGGAGAUGAGAUUGGCAGCCUCUGUGCCAGGAAACACAGGUCUGUGAGGGAGCAGAGGCGGCGGCUGCGUCUCUGGAGGGACCCCUCGUCCUGGAGGACCCCAGGCAACUCAUGGACCUUUCCAGACCCAGAGGGAGCCUGUGGAGGGAGUUCUUCCUCGUGGCCAGUCUGCUGGCCUGCGGGAUCUGCCAUGCCUCUGGCCAAAUCUUCAUCACCCAAAUACUGGGGAUAAAGGGAUAUUUGACUAUCCUUGCCGUGGACAACGUCCCCGAGGAUGUCCAGGAAUACAGCUGGUACCGGGGUGCAAAUGACAGCGCGGGAAACAUGAUUAUGAGCUACAAACUGCCCAGUACCAGGCAGCCUGGGCCCAUGUACACUGGCAGGGAGAGGGUGAACAGAGAAGGCGACCUGGUGAUCAGGCCGACUGCUUUAAAUGACACAGGAAACUACACCGUUCGGGUGGUUGCCAGCAAUGAGACCCACAGAGCAACCGGCUGGCUGGAGGUUGUAGAGUUGGGAAGCGAUCCGAGCCUCUCAGUCAAUGCCACCUCCCUGGUAGAGAACAUGGAUUCCGUGGCUGCCAAUUGCCACACCAAUGCCACCAACAUCACGUGGUAUGUGAAUUAUGGACCCAUAUCUGGCAGUGACCGGAUGAGAAUUUCCCCAGACGGCAAGAGCCUCGUCAUCCUCAGGAUUAGGCGUUCUGAGAGAACUCUUCAGUGUGCAAUAGAGAGUUUCCCAGACAUCUUCCAGAGGAGUGAAGUCAUCUCUCUGACUGUGUCCUAUGGGCCCGACUAUGUGCAGCUGAGGAGCAAUCCAUAUGCCUUUAAUGGCAUCAUGAAAGCUGAGAUCGGCUCCCAUGUGGAAAUGGAGUGUGUCGCCUAUUCUUUGCCGGCUCUCAUGUACCGCUGGAUCCACAACGGCUCCCUCCUGAACGUCUCAGAUGCAACGGUGAAUCUCUCAAGUCUGGCCUGGGAGCAGCUGGGCAGUUACCGAUGCAUCGUGGAGAACCCUGCGACACAGCUGACCUUCUAUGUGGACAUCAGGAUCCAGGCCCCCCGAUAAGAAUCCCUGCAUGAAAAGGGUGCCGUAAGAGUAAAAUAAAACUGUGCAAGAAAGUCCAGGAGAUGUUGCAGGAUGUGGUCUGCAGACUUCAGCCACAUCGCACGACUUCCUAAGCACCCGCUAUGCACCAGACACAAUGUGUGCAUUCAGCCCUCCAAGUCAUCUGUUCACGUUUUUCUCUUCCCCUGGACUCCGAGCUCCAGGAGGGCAGAAGCUGGGUGAGAUUUUUGUUUGCCAUUUGUCCUCAGCGCUUGGCACAGUGCCUAGCAUAUAGUUGCUGCUCAGUGAACAUUUGUGUAAUGAGUUAAUGACCCUGUGUCACCCCCUUCCAGUCACUGUCUCUCUCCUUACGAGGGUUUAUUCUUCUCUAUUCACUUAUGGCUGCCUGCAGUUGAGACCUCUCUUUGCUUCAUUGUCCUCUGUCCACUUCCCAGCUCGAAUGUCAGCCCCAUGGGUGCAGGGAGUUUGUUUUGUUGGCUGCUGAAUCCCUGGUACCGGGAAGAGUGCUUUGUUGGUAAUAGAUGUUGACAAAUCUUUGAAGAACAGAUGUGUGGUUGAGUGAAGAGAUGAGUGAACACAUGAACGGGUGAGUCGUGGUCCUGACCCCCGGUGUCCUCUUCCUCCAGGGAUCUUACCUACAGUGUUCUCCAUCUCGGAACCCAUAGUGGUGCUCCUCAUCGGGUGGACAGUGGCGGCUGGCGUCUACCUCUGUGGAGUCCUAAUCCAUGCUCUGAUCAACUGCUACUCAAACAGGACAAAUCGGGCCACUUGAGUGUCCCCCUCAGGCCUGAGGACAAGACCAGCGGGCAAACAGCUCCUGUGCUUCCAGCUUUUCAGAUAUUGACCCACAGAAUCAACAGCCUGCUGCAAACUUAAGGCCAAGGAGUCCCCACUCAGUGGUUGCUUCAUUGAGUGCCGGGUGAGAGAAGAGACCUUGGAACCAGGCAGGGAUUAAAUUCCAGCUCUGCCCUGAGUAGCUGAGUAACCUGAACGCAGCCCCAGUGAGGUUUCUCCAUCUGGAGGCACCGUGGAACCGUUAAGUCGGCGUGAUGAGCACAUCUGUCGGCUUAAAUAUUCACUUUUCUUUGGUGACAUUUAAACUCCUCUCUUUUAGCUAUUUUGAAAUAUUCAGUUAAUCCAAAUACAUUAUUCUGUUAUUUGGAACAACA